rnacentral:rRNA from 1 species
GACGAACGUUGGCGGCGUGCCUAAUGCAUGCAAGUCGAUCGAGGGACCUCCUCCGGGUAACCGGAAGAGGUCACCUAGUGGCGAACGGGUGAGUAACACGUGAGAAACCUGCCCCGGAGACCGGAAUAGCCCAGGGAAACUUGGAUUAAUGCCGGAUGUCCUCGGAUGGUCGCAUGGUCGACCGAGGAAAAGUCCGCUGCUCCGGGAUGGUUUCGCGGCCUAUCAGCGUGUUGGUGCGGUAACGGGCCACCAAGGCGACGACGGGUAGCUGGUCUGAGAGGACGAUCAGCCACACUGGGACUGAGACACGGCCCAGACUCCUGCGGGAGGCAGCAGCAGGGAAUUUUGCACAAUGGACGAAAGUCUGAUGCAGCGACGCCGCGUGGGGGAUGAAUGCCUUCGGGUUGUAAACCCCUUUCAGGAGGGACGAAGCGAAAGUGACGGUACCUCCAGAAGAAGCCCCGGCCAACUACGUGCCAGCCGCCGCGGUAACAC